GAUGAACGCUGGCGGCGUGCUUAACACAUGCAAGUCGAACGGAAAGGCUCCUUCUUGCUGGUGUACUCGAUUGGCGAACGGGUGAGUAACCCGAGGGCGAUCUGCCCUUCACUUCGGGAUAAGCCUGGGACACUGGGUCUAAUACCGGUUAGGACUAUGCUCUGGAUGCCAUUGUGGAUAGUUUUUCGGUGUGGGAUGAGCUCGCGGCCUAUCACCUUGUUGGUGGGGUAAUGGCCUACCACGGCGUCGACGGGUAGCCGGCCUGAGAGGGUGUACGGCCACCUUGGGACUGAGCUACGGCCCAGACUCGUACGGGAGGCAGCAGUAGGGAAUAGUGCACAAUGGGGGCAAGCCUGAUGCAGCGACGCCGCGUGGGGGAUGACGGCCUUCGGGUUGUAAACUCCUUUCGCUGGGGACGAAGGGUAAGUGACGGUACCUGGAGAAGAAGCACCGGCUAACUACGUG
rnacentral:rRNA from 1 species